rnacentral:lncRNA from 1 species
CUAUCAAAGAGUUUCAAGGUUGAACGUGGCUGUCUUGCUAAAGGUCUGUGGUGACCUUAUUGUCUGUCAAAGGUAGCUUCUGGCUUUCCCAUGUCUGUCUCAAGCCCCUAAGUUCCCAAAACCCAUUAAUCUGUUUUCUCUCAGUCUUUCCCUGUCUGUCUUAGUUCAGGCUCAGACCCUGCUUUAGGAAGCCCUCCCUACUCCCUACCCCUUCCUGGUGCUGGACAUGACCCAAGCACUAGCAUCUACCAGGGCUGCGGAGGGCUCCACAGAGGGUUGAAGCUGAGUUUUCAGACUGGUGGGAUGGGGAAAGGAGAUUGAUGUCUUAAGGAUUAUGGCUGGCAGGGGCUAUGACACUGCGGAUACCCUGUGACCCUCUCAUCCCUAUGAGGGAGGUGUUUUACCUGUUUUACAGAUGUGGAAGGAAACAGGUCCCGAAUGGAAGAUGUCUGUACUGGGCCAUAGCUAAGUGGAGACCUGUUGGAAGGCAGGAUGGCCUACGUGCUAGCUCUGUGCUGGAUGGUCUUCACCAGCCUGGAGGACAUGCUCUGAGCCUGGGACCAGCCAGGAACACCAGAGACCCUGUGGCAAGAGAACGGGCUAAGUUCUACAGCUGGGGCAGGCUGGCACUUCUUCAAGGCCUCUCCCAGCUUCCUGGCCGUUGGGGACUGGCUGCUCCCUCCAGAGGAAGGCAGUCUCUUAUCUGGGCUUAUCUCCUGCCAAUGAAGUGUUUGCUUCGCUUUGUUUUUGUUGCAGCCCCAGGCAAACAGAUCGGGUAGGAAGGCCAGAGAAACUGGGUGGCCAGGGUUGGGCUUCCCAGGGCCUAAGGCCUUAGCUCUCCCUGAGAUUCCUACCAUUGCCCAAGUCAACUUCUUCUGUAGUCAGUCCUUGUCACGUUCCCAGCUCUGCCACUUUUCCAUGUCCCAAGUCCUGUAUCGCUGACUGGCUGACCUCCAUUUCCCGAACACUACAUGUGGGCUGGGGUCCUCAAAAAUAAGCUAAGUCCCAACAUCCUGGUGUGUCGGUCUGCAGAGUGUCAGUUCCAGACAUAGCCUCACCUUCAAGACUGACCUACUCCUUGAGGCCCUGUUGUGGGGGCCACCCCUCCCAUGUUCCAGGAAGCAAAGUGGUGGCGCAACUUAUCUGCAUAUCCAGCGCAAAGCACUGGCCUGGGCUAUAGGGGCGCCAAUAAAUCUCUGAACUGAGCUCUGGGCCCUGCUCCAGGUCCCUGUGAG